rnacentral:rRNA from 1 species
UAAAGUUGCUGCAGUUAAAAAAGCUCGUAGUUGAACGUUCGGGGUUCCGCGGGACGGGGCCGCCCCGCGAGGGACGGCGCCGCCCCGGGGCUCGUGAUAUCUCAUCUCGCCGCCCGUCGCGAGGCGGACGGAGGGAUGGAUGAGGUUACCUGGAAAAAAUCGGGGCGAUCUAGGCGGGCGAACCUCGCCAACGAACGAUCGGACAUGGGAUAACGGAAGAGGGCGUCGGCUCGACUUCGUCGGUUCCUCGGGCCGAGGCACGUACGGUGAAUAGGGGACGGUCGGGGCCGCCCGUACCGGGUCGUGAGAGGUGAAAUUCUAGGAUCGACCCGAGACGAACCGCCGCGAAAGCAUUCGGCAAGGACGCUUUCAUUAAUCAAGAACGAAAGUCGGGGGAUCGAAGACGAUCAGAUACCGUCGUAGUCCCGACCGUAAACGAUGCCGACCGAGGUCCCGGAGGAGUUACGUACGACCCUCCGGGCCCUCCCGCGAGAAAUCAGGAGUAUUCGGGUUCCGGGGGGAGUAGUGGUCGCAAGGCCGAAACUU